rnacentral:antisense_RNA from 3 species
CUUCAGGGAGCCGAGCCAGAGGGGUUCGCCGUCGUGCCGGUCCUGACCGUAGGUGGCCAGCAGGGCCUGCGCCUC